rnacentral:rRNA from 1 species
UGGGGAAUAUUGCACAAUGGGCGAAAGCCUGAUGCAGCGACGCCGCGUGAGGGAUGACGGCCUUCGGGUUGUAAACCUCUUUCAGCAGGGACGAAGCGCAAGUGACGGUACCUGCAGAAGAAGCACCGGCUAACUACGUGCCAGCAGCCGCGGUAAUACGUAGGGUGCAAGCGUUGUCCGGAAUUACUGGGCGUAAAGAGUUCGUAGGCGGUUUGUCGCGUCGUUUGUGAAAACCAGCAGCUCAACUGCUGGCUUGCAGGCGAUACGGGCAGACUUGAGUACUGCAGGGGAGACUGGAAUUACUGGUGUAGCGGUGAAAUGCGCAGAUAUCAGGAGGAACACCGGUGGCGAAGGCGGGUCUCUGGGCAGUAACUGACGCUGAGGAACGAAAGCGUGGGUAGCGAACAGG